CACAGGCAAAGGGGAGAAUUCAGAGUAAGAAGCCAUGGGAAAGUGGGAAGUCCUAGACUGGCACGGUUUCAAAAUAGAUGCUAAAGUAGGGGAUUGGCGAGCAUACGGCUGGGCUCGGACUUUUCCCAUCGUGGCACAGAGGGACGUUGGAAGAGCUUUAAAAAGCUAAGGGGAGAUAGUGACCAGGUAACUGUUUCAGGACACUGGAGCUACAACAAAAACUAACAGUUGGAUCUGAGGAAAACAGCACCCCGCCUUUCUGGUGGUUUCUAGGUACCAGUGGGAAGGCCACAACAGAGUUCCUGUCUUUCUCUAGCUCUUCGAAGGAAAUCCAACACUCUUCUGCACUCACCUUCUGAACAAUUUUAUUUUAUUCUAGGGGAAACAAACUGAGAUUUCAGCAUAGGCAAGAUGAGUGUUUCUGAUGCAGAAACACUGAGAAUGUCCCUAACAGAGUGUAACUCUUAAUCAGAGUUGUUUAUCCACACUGGGAGCCACUGCAGGUCACGCUGUUCGCUUGGUGCCAUUUGGUCUGCUCUGACGCCUUUCUGGACAGGAAGUCCUUAAGAUUAAAGAUUGUACUUUUAUGGGCUCAGGCCUGCCCAGUCCAAGCUAUUAACUGGAGAGAAAUGUAACUAGAAGUCAAUUUCUAGAAAGGAUAUUAACAAUUAUUUGUGUGUGUGUCAGAAUGAAAAAUAGGAGGAAAUCAAGGUGGAGUAAUAGAGGGAAGAAGCACUAAGGAGAAACCAGCAAAGUAAUUGGAAUAUUGGAAAUAAAAGUAUUUCUGUGUUGAAGUAGAAUUUUCUUGUUUGGUGUUAGUAUAGCAUAUAUAAUUAAAACAAAAUUGAUAAAGAACUUAGGAUAUUAGGAUAUUAACAGAUAGGCCAAAUGAAGGAUUUCAUCUUACUCUCUGCAGCCGCCUUUCACAAAGGACUUUUUUUUUUGCAAAACAAUGUCUUGGCAAAUGGAAGCAAGUAAAUAUUUGAAGAAAGUAAAACUGGCUGUGAGUGCAGGAGAGAGAGGCCGUUUGUUCUUUCAGCCAGCCUUGCUUGUGGCUCAUUUCACAGUUGUUUAAAGGGAGCACAUUUUGAAAAUCUAGUUUCUUCAUACAAGCCUGGUAGGUGACUGAUGGUUCUGUACCUCAUGUACGUGCCACCGGGGUUUAUAUUUUUACACAUGUUUGUCAAGAUAAUGUUUUGUAAACGAAAGGUGGACGUUUCACAGCAGGGCCUGAGAAGUCGCGCUGGUUGGGACCAGAAGACAGCUUCAGGCAGAAGCUCCUGCCGCAUGAAUAGGUCCUGCCUUGCAGCUUGUGGACAAGCGAGUGAGCGGCCUGGAGGAGCCUGAGGGGUCUAUGACAGACGCAGCGGUGCGGCCUGCCUGCUGACCGCCGGCGUUCACUCAGCUCCGCUCAAAGCCCCCUCCCCUCCCCUCCCCUCCCCUCCCCGCCGCUUGCUAUUCACGGAGUAGAAGCCAGGCGUGGACUGGUUUUAAUGACUUCAAGACACAGAUGCUGCAAUUACCUUCAGAAGCAGGAGCGCGAUGGACUUUGAGUGGUGGUAGGCUUUCCGGACGGUGGGCCGUGCAGGGGCCACGUUUAUGGCUGCUAAUCCUUUCAGGUCGUCAGCGCCCAUUGAUCUCUCUACUUCCAGCUGUUGUCAACACAGAUGGUACGGGGCUUGGAAUGCAGAGCAGGCAAACCCUGCUUGUAUUUAUGCUUUACACUCUCAUACUGGAGAUUUAAUUAUGAAUACUAGUACAAAAGAAAGAGUAGUUUCAUCAUAUUUUAUCUGCCCGUUGUUAAAACUAGUCAGGACACCUAUACAGACUCCGAGAUAGGCUAAUGUUAAAGAAUUUCAUAUAUUUUAAAUACAUAAACGGAUAGCAUAUCCAUGGAUACCCGUGUAUGUAUAUGUAUAUCCAUGAAAGAGGAGAUUUAAAAAUUAGACUUGUUUUUGUAAUAAAGUGCUCACUUCUUUAUGUAGUAGUUUCAUUACCAAUAGGAAGAAUUGGAAAUUUUUUUCUUAUUUUAAAAGAUGAAAAAUGUGCAUGAUUGUAUUAUUCUAACACAAUGUUAGAGCAGCAGUCAUCAGCUUUGUGCAAAUGAGACUCACAGGACAGGGACACAGAUGCCUUCAGAGACGACAACCCUGCAUAGGUCUCAGGGUUUCACUUUCUCGAGAGGCCGGAGGGUGGGCUGUGGGGCCGUGACCACGCUGGGAGAAGCCCAGCCUCGGGGGCCCGGGCAGCCCUCUGCCGGUUCCUCCCUCACUCUCGAGCCUUCCAUGUUCACGUUCAGUCCUGCUGCCUGGACCCACUGUCUUGUCUUCCAGACUUUCCACUCUCUGUCCAGCCAGCUUUCUUUUGUGACUCUGUCGAAGGUCCCUCUUACCUCUCGCUGCCCGUCAGGCUGCAUUUCUUCCUUUGGUCAGAUGAUGAUCCUUUGUGUAUGUCCCCACCAAAGAACUCAGAGCCUGUCCACAUUUCUUAGCUGUCUUUCAUUCUCCGAGCUACUUGAGGGCAGUGACUGCUUCAUCAUCACUGGCACACCCAAAGCCUACCAUGGUCCCUGGCAACAGGCAUGGUCUGUAAAAGUGUGUUGCAUGACAGAUGUUGGCUCAGGACUAAUCUUCCUCAGCAAAACAAACAAACAAACAAAGUGUGUUGCAUGAAGGAUAAAUACUAAUGCAGAUUUAACCAAGGACAGAACCUACAUUAUGAAGAAUGAGCCCUUUUGAAGAAAGCUUGCUGGUGGAUGCUGCGGUACACCUCUCAGAUCUCUCCUUUCAAAACCAGGCGCUCACUCCCCAGCUGCCGGCAGCGUGGCCUGCUGGGAGCUCACACUCAUUGCUUCCCAGUGUGUUCAUUUCCCAGGGUGGGCCGCCGUUGCUACAGUGACAAACAUGUGCAACAGAGAAAUAAACAACCAAACGUGUUCUCUCAUAGUCCUGGAGGGCAGGAGCCUGAGGUCCAGGUGUCGGCAGGGCCUGCUCCUCCUGAAGCCUCUAGAGGAGAUUUCUUUGCCUCUUCCAGUUUCCGGUGGCUCUAGGCAUUUCUUGCUUGUGGCUGCAUCAUUCCAGACUCUGCUUAUGUCCUUUCAUGGCCUGCUCUUCUUUCUAUGUCUCUCCUCUGUGUGUCUCUUAUAAGGACACUUAUUAUUAGAUUUAGGGCACACCCGGAUAAUCCAAAAUGAUCUCAUCUCUAGAGCCUUCACUUCGUUACAUCUGCAAAGACUCUUUUUCCAACUAAGGUCCCAGUUCUCAGGGUUAGGACAUGAACACAUCUUUGGUGGGGCGGGGAUGGGAUGCUCCAAGUCUGUGGUCAUUUGCCACGGCAGCCCUAGGAAACCACACUGGGUGCAUAUUCCCCUGACAAAAGGGAGCUGCCCUGGAUGAGGCCAUGCCCUCUACGGUGGGCAGACCUUACUCAGUGCCUGGUCAACGGUGGGGUACAUAAAGGCUGGUCCGCUUGCCUCAGUUGGUGACAACUCUGAAGGAUCAUCUCAGCUCCAGAGCUCUCCAUGGGAGAGGCGGAGGUCUCUGUUUCGACUCUGUCACAAAUCAACUCCCCUCCCACCCUCUGCCAGCUCCUCCCUCCAGCACGUGUCACGGGUUCUGACUGGGAGGGCGGGCACUCCCAGGAAGCCACCUGCAUCAGUUUCAUAAUGUGUUUUCUGCUGAACUCUACUGACAACAUGUAUCAAUUUAUUAGGACUAAAAAUUUGUUGAAAAUAUCAUUUAUUCUUCUGGGUAAUCUUCUUGAAUUCAGCCAAGGUAAUAUAAGCUGUAUGCAAAUAGGUGAUGUUGUUAAAUAAAAAUGAAUGGUGAAGUAGUUCCUACUUCUUUGGUAGUGGUUUUUACUUCAUUCGUUUACACGUGGGGGCUCCAAAGACUGUCCACUCUAAUCGCAUGAGCACCGUCUAUAGAGCUGGUGUGAAUAGCAGUGAUUGAGUAAAUAUUAUUCCAUAUGGACAUUUUUUAUGACUACUCUUGGCUUCUUUCUGGAGCAGUGCGGUGUGUGGUCUAGAAUGAUACUGUCCACUGGCAUUUAUCAUCCUUUCACCCAUAGAUGAAAAGCUUCCCAAAGUACAUUUAUUUUAAUGAUGAACAGCCCAGGUUCCAGAAGGCUAUUUGACUUGGGUUCCAAUGCCGGCUCAGACACUGACUUGGUCUCUUGUAGCUUUCCUAGGCUUCGACCUCUUAGCUGUAAACAAAGGUGAUGAUAGCUGAGACAGAGUGUCUUGAGGAUGAAAGGCGCCUCACGGGUACAGGUUUGGCUCAAUGCUGGCACACAGGCAGAAGUAAGUACAUAGUGGUCCUUGUUAUCCCUUAGAUCUCCCGCCUCCACUGGCCUCCAAGUGCAUGUGACGAUGGCCUCUUGGAGGCAAGUAGAAUGGAGAGUCCCUGGGAUGAGAGGAAUCAGCACGUGCAGGAGGUCUCUGAAUCCUAGUUUUGUUCACUUGCAGGGUGUGGUUUGGAGGCUGUGAACUCACCUUUUUCUCCUUCGGUCUCAAGAGAGCAUUAUCCCUGGUCUUUGGACUCAGAAAAGAGGUUCAUCAGUGUGCUAUCUUGGACACACAAGUGAGAAGAACAUCCUGUGAACUGCGCACGUCCCUCAGGUCGGGUUUGAAGGUCGAAGCCACCUGAUUGGAAAGAAGACAGUCUGGCCCCUGCGUCUGCUCUGCUGAGGCUGACUGUGUGGCUGCCAGGAAAGCAGGUGGGCGAGCCUGUAGGCCUGAGGCAGCGGUGCCCUGUGGGGUGCUGGGGAGCAGAAGGGCUUCUAGUUACUCUGCCUGCCAGGACAGAGGGUUGUCACCGACACGGAGCUUCAGGGUACCACGUUUGAUCUGCAACGGGCCGGUCCUCCAAAUCUUAUCUCGUUCCUACUUAACUGUGGCUGUCUAUACCAAUUAAUUUAAACAAAUGAUUGCCACAUCUCCUCUUUACUAUGUGUAAUUUUGGUAUAGUUUAAGCUCCUGAUCCAAGCCUAACCCCUAUUCAGUAGACUGAGAACUAGGAAAAUAUUUAUUCACCAUAAAAUACUGUAUGCCCCGUGUGAUGUUUCUUAGGUAUUUUGUUUGUUUAGUUUUUGAGCUCUUUUAUUGAAAGAUAACAUUCACAAAGUAAAAGAUGUAAGUUUUAAGUGUAUAGUGUGAUGAAUUUUGAUAAAUAUAUACAUUUAUGUGACCAGCACCAAGGCAAUACCAGGCCUAGAGGCCUCCAGCUUACCCCUCCCCAUCAACACCCCUCCAUCAACGCACCCUCAGUUCCAACCUCCAUCCCUUUCGCAUAUUUUAUUUUGAUCCUUGAGGGCUAAUUAUGUUACCAUUGAACUCUUCUAUAUAAUAAUUAAUUAUAAUGAACGAAAUCUCUCUGAAGUGAUCAAGGGAAAGAGAAAAUAAGGCUCAGGAAAGUUCAGUUACUUGACCAACAGAGACCAGUUACAGGUGGUACCUCUUGCUUCUCCCAGUAAUUCAGAUAGUAAACAAAAAAGCUGAUAGAAGGUGAAAGCUAGUUAGCAGAGUUAUUAAAGGUGGUCAGAAGAAUUAUUUUCUAAAUAAAUUUUCCUUGUAUUUAUGAGACCUUGAAUGCCACAGUGAGUUGGAAGCAGGUACGACUAUGACCAUGAGACCUAACCAGCGUUGUUCUAGGUAUUAUCUCAUGUGUGUUAUCUUCCUUUCUUAUCACGACGCAGCUUUCCCAGGUAAGUACGAACAUCCUCCCUGUCUUACAGGUGAAGAAGCAGAAGCACAGGGUCAUUAAGUCAUUUACCCAAGAUCACAGAGCUAGUUCUUGGUGCCUCCUGGAUUUUAAUGCAGAAUUUGUACUCCUGA